rnacentral:ncRNA from 1 species
UCAUAAUGCGUGGGUCAACAGAUUCACUGACCUGGAACACUGAAUGUGUUUGACAAGCAUGAAGCACUCAGAAACCUCAAUGAAAUCCAACCGAGAACCUUGGUUAAUGGUUUCGAUCAUAACAAACUUUAUGGAACCAAGUGAUGGUGAACUAUGCUUGGGUGGGCAGAAGCUGGAGGAAGCUCUCAUGGAUGCUACAAACGAUACUGCAAUAAUAGUAUGUAAAUCAUUCGUCUGACUUUUGCUGUAAGGGUAAAAUACAGAUCGAGCCAAACUAGGUGCCCCCCUAAAUUAUUUCCCUAAGAACCACUGUUGUCAGUUCAAUUUUUACCAAGCAAAGCAAAUAAUUAGAGGCACCAGUGGUCCACCAUCAUUGGCUUAUUCUCUACCUGUAUAUAAUUAAGACAGUGUGGUUGCCUUGAUGUGCCUGCAUAUCGUAGUUCAUAGCUGCAAAUAUGACAUUUUUGGUAGGCACAAAUUGUGUGGGAUGAACCAAAAGCUGGAUUAUGCUACAAAGCUAUGUUGCACCGGCACUUCACAAACAUGCUGUCUUCUGCAGGCAUAUGCAGGUUACAUCAGAU